UCCUGCAGGCACACGAGUUCGUCUCCUGAACCAAACCUUCGAUCGAUUCGAUCUACUCUUGACCUUCCCCCUCACUCCUAUGACCAUAUAUAAGACCCCCAACCUCUCCUCGACCGAUUUUUGGCAAAACCUAGGACUCCCGUUCCUUGGAGCUACCAACCGGAUCUCGCCGGAGUUCUCUGCCUGAAGCUCUUAGCCGGCCGAUUUCGUCGCGUCUCGAGGAGCACGCCUCAGCGAGCAACAGGAGCAAGACCUGAAGGUCAUCGGAACACGCAAAAUUUUCGCCGGAGUCCGCAGCUUCGCCGGAGGAGCCCCGCCGAUCAUAGAACCCCGUCGCUACCCCUGCGUCCGACCGCCACCAGAGCCCCGCCACCCACGCCUGAAUUGCCGCCGUUUUCCUCUUCCUCUCGUGAGCACACGCGCAGGAAAAUCACCUGGGCCAGUCAUCACGCGACAUGUAGCACGUGCUACAGUGCCGCACGAGCCAGAUUUUUAUCUGUUUUAUUUUGGGCAGAUUUUCACUGAAAAUUUCAAACCUAUUUAACUUUUAACUAGUUUGCCCAAUUUAGGAAAUUCUUUUUCCUGUGAACUCAAAAUAACCAGUACAAUUUGAUAUGACCAAUAGUUUUCA